rnacentral:rRNA from 1 species
AAAGAUAAAAAUAUUAAAUUAAAAUUAGUAAUAGUUAUGUUCUUUAAAAUUAAAAAAUUUGGCGGUAUUUAAGUCUUUUCAGAGGAACCUGUUUUAUAAUUGAUAUUCCACGAUAAAUUAAACUUAUUUUAUUAAUUUGUAUAACGUUGUAAAUGAAUAUCUUAAAAGAGAUUAAAUGUUCAGAAUUUAUAAUUUUAAAUAAAAUCAGAUCAUGUUGCAGUUUAUAAAUAAGUAAUAAUGGGUUACAAUAUUUUUAAAUAAACGGAUUAAUUAAUUGAAAAUUUUUAUGAAGGUGGAUUUGAAAGUAAUUAAUUAAAUUUUUUUUUAAUGAUUUAAGCUCUUAAAUAUGU